rnacentral:lncRNA from 13 species
UGAAGCUAUGGAAAGAAAAAAGGAAGGAGCACUGCUUGAUUGCCAGUUUCCCAGACACAGGUUAGUCCUUGUCCUGGACUAAAACGUGCUUUCAAUGGAGAAUCUGUUAUGGUGAGUGAAUGAGGACCCAAAAGCGAACUAACUUAAACAGAGCUUCUUUAAUAACCAAACAUAGGUAGGCUCAGAUAGACCGGCAGAUUCCGACAGGACAGGACAAGGUUACAGCAAACAUGACGAUAGUCUGGCUCAGGCAUGAAACACAACAAACAAGAAUCCGACAAGGACAAGGUUACAGCAAACAUGACGAUAGUCUGGCUCAGGCAUGAAACACAACAAACAAGAAUCCGACAAGGACAGGAACAAAAAACAGAGAGAGAUAUAGGGGACUAAUCAGAGGGAAAAAGGGAACAGGUGGGAAAAGGGGUGACGAGGUGGUUAGGAGGAGACAAGGCACAGCUGGGGGAAAGAGGGGGAGAAAAGGUCCCUAUAUCUCUCUCUGUUUCUGUUCCUGUCCUUGUCGGAUUCUUGUUUGUUGUGUUUCAUGCCUGAGCCAGACUAUCGUCAUGUUUGCUGUAACCUUGUCCUGUCCUGUCGGAAUCUGCCGGUCUAUCUGAGCCUACCUAUGUUUGGUUAUUAAAGAAGCUCUGUUUAAGUUAGUUCGCUUUUGGGUCCUCAUUCACUCACCAUAACAGAUAGAGUUUAGUGUGUCAAAUCGGAGGGCCUGUUGUCCGGACCCCUGGCAGUCUCUAUGGGGGGUGCCACAGGGUUCAAUUCUCGGCCGACUCUCUUCUCUGUAUACAUCAUUGAUGUCGCUCUCGCUGCUAGUGAUUCUUUGAUC